rfam:Formosa sp. Hel3_A1_48, complete genome.
UAUAUUUGCCGCCUGAUUAUGAUCGCCGUAAUCAAUGCAUAAAAAUUAUUUAAAUAAAUAUUGGAAUG